GAUGAACGCUGGCGGCGUGCCUAAUACAUGCAAGUCGAGCGAACGGACGAGAAGCUUGCUUUUCUGAUGUUAGCGGCGGACGGGUGAGUAACACGUGGAUAACCUACCUAUAAGACUGGGAUAACUUCGGGAAACCGGAGCUAAUACCGGAUAAUAUUUUGAACCGCAUGGUUCAAAAGUGAAAGACGGUCUUGCUGUCACUUAUAGAUGGAUCCGCGCUGCAUUAGCUAGUUGGUAAGGUAACGGCUUACCAAGUCAACGAUGCAUAGCCGACCUGAGAGGGUGAUCGGCCACACUGGAACUGAGACACGGUCCAGACUCCUACGGGAGGCAGCAGUAGGGAAUCUUCCGCAAUGGGCGAAAGCCUGACGGAGCAACGCCGCGUGAGUGAUGAAGGUCUUCGGAUCGUAAAACUCUGUUAUUAGGGAAGAACAUAUGUGUAAGUAACUGUGCACAUCUUGACGGUACCUAAUCAGAAAGCCACGGCUAACUACGUG
rnacentral:rRNA from 1 species